GUCCAAGGACCUCAGCCUGCGCCAGGCUCCGGCUCCGGAUCUCACCACCAGCCACGACAACAAACAUCCAACCAGCUCCUCUCCGCAGCAUCUGGGGCUGUGUGAUAAGGACAAAGACCUGCAAACCCCCAGGAUCUCAGGGUCUGCCUCCUGGAGACCACGAGCUUCGGCAAGAAGUGGGCUGAGCCUAUAAAGACAUCAACCUCCAGGAGGCUCGAGGUACAAAGGGCUCCUGUACAUCCACCUCCUCUGAACUCACAGCACUCUAGUCAGGUAAGCAGGGCUUACCACCAGUCUCAUUAGGCCAAGGAAGAAACUGAGGCCCAAGGCACGGUGGGGGGUGUGGCCUUGGGAAGCAGGUCUUGGUCAAGUGAGGGUUGAUGGCGGUACACAGAGCUCUGGCUCCAGUGUGAGUUUUCCUUGGCCCAAUAUGGGGCCUCCUGUCUCUCUUUUGGAUGAGCCCCUGGCCACCUCUGUCUGGCCCACCAAACACCACCUUGGCCAACCCUGCAUCUCUCCUACAGCCCAUUGCUUUAAGAGGCCUGGAGACUCAGCUUUUUGACCUGCUUUGCUAUGAGCAUUGAGGGGCUGCUCUGGGGGGUCCCUUUCUGCUCUGUGCCAACUCCCACUCCCUUUCUUCCCUUCCUGAGCUGUCCCCUGCCCUGUGGAUGCUCAAGAUCAUGGGCGAAGACAACACGUACACAUUGGACAAGUAUGGAGUGAAAAAUUCAAGCCCUCAGAAGUCAGAGAGAUUGGAAGAAAGAGAAAGACUCCACUGGCAAUUGAUGG